rnacentral:rRNA from 1 species
GCUCGCAAGAGCAACCGGCGAACGGGUGCGUAACACGUGAGCAAUCUGCCGAUUUCUGGGGGAUAGCCGGCCCAACGGCCGGGUAAUACCGCAUACGUUCUCGAGGGGGAGUCCUCUUGGGAAGAAACCUCCGGGGGAAAUCGAGGAGCUCGCGGCCUAUCAGCUAGUUGGCGGUGUAAUGGCCCACCAAGGCGACGACGGGUAGCUGGUCUGAGAGGAUGGCCAGCCACAUUGGGACUGAGAGACGGCCCAGACUCCUACGGGAGGCAGCAGUGGGGAAUCUUGCGCAAUGGCCGAAAGGCUGACGCAGCGACGCCGCGUGUGGGAGGACGCCUUUCGGGGUGUAAACCACUGUUGCCCGGGACGAACAUCCCUUUUCGAGGGGACUGACGGUACCGGGUGAGGAAGCACCGGCUAACUCCGUGCCAGCAGCCGCGGUAAUACGGAGGGUGCGAGCGUUGUCCGGAAUCAUUGGGCGUAAAGGGCGCGUAGGUGGCGGGACAAGCGUGCGGUGAAAGCCUGGGGCUCAACCCCGGGUCGGCCGUGCGAACUGUUUUGCUUGAGCACUGUA